rnacentral:lncRNA from 1 species
UGGGCAGCGCGAUGGGAAGGAGCCCACCCACGACUGUGGAUGUUUAACCAAAGCCUUCCUGUAGGAAAGCAGGAAAGACUGGGUGGCCUGAGGGCAAGACGACAGUACUGCUGCUCAGAAAAGGUGACCAAAGUGGCCAACAUUGCAACCUGGACCUGGGACUCAAACCCAAAUCUGUCUGAUUCCUAAACUGCAAUCUUCCCACCAGAUUCUGCGGCCUCCCACUACCUGAAAAAUGGUUUUUCUCUGUCUCCUCACCUAGGAAUGGAAAUAUCACUGAAACUAAAGAAAACGACCCUCCAGUCCAGUGGGUGCAAACUGGGGACUUCAGCUGGAUUCACCCCUCAGGUGGCUUCUGUUUGGCCACCACCUUGUUUGGUAAAGCUGACAGCAGCCAAGUCAUAGUCCCUGAAACAUGCAGCAGAUGAAGACAGCGGCCCUCGUUGGACAAAAACCACAUCUGCUUCCCUUUAAAAGAAAUGACAAACAGAAUAGCUGCUCACCAUUCACAGCAACAGAGUCUAGAACUUAAGAUGCUCCAAGCAUCUUAACACCUUCUCAACUCAACGCACCAACGGAAGGGUCACCAUGUAUAAAGAAAAAUGUGUUCUUCCAUUUAAUGUUUUCCCUUUCAGUAGGACCCCAUCACCCUUUUUUAAGUAACAGCUUUAUUAAGAUAUAAUCUACACCAUGCUAGGCAUGUUUGUGGCUAUUAUCUCAUUUAAUCCAUAUCAUCAUUCCAUUGCACUAAUUUGAAAACCAAAGCUCAGAGAAGUAAACGUUCUCAGAGCCACACAGUUGCUCCAUGGUAGAGGCAGGAUUUGAACCUGGAUCGCCCCAAGUCCAAUCCCAAAGAUACUUCCACUACUCCAUGUUUCUCGUGCAGUAGAUGGCAGCUGCCCUUUAUCAUUUUAUUAUGGUAUGUUUUAGAGACAGCAAGGGCCUGUACUUUUGUUUGGCUUACAGAAACUCAAAUGCAUGCAAUGUAUCACUUCACCCAUGCAUAUCCCUGGGUUGAAAAUAUGCCCACAUCUAUGGAACACCUAAGAACAAGCAUUACACAAAUAAACCGUUUCCCUAAAUUUCCCUGUGAUUCUUGGAGCUACUGAGACAACACUCCAAUAUUUCUGUAAUUUUUAAGCCCACAAAGGAAAGUUAGUGUAUAACAAAGGCCUUGGUGGCUUUCAGCUGCAUCCUAAGCCUCCUCUCGUUAAAUUUCUUAAUAGACUGGCCUCAUAUCAGAGCCCAGGAGGAGAUGGUCCACCUAGGAAUAAGGGUUCUAAUAGUUAACUCUGAAACUGGAAGCAAGCCAGUGACAAGGAGUUGAAACUAAAGAACACAGGAGACCUCCGUAAACGUCCUUCCAGCAUAGACCUGAGGUUCUGAGCAACUGUGGGUAACGCACAAACCAUUAUUAAAACCAAUAAAAUACCAUUAUUUUACAAAAAAUUAAA